rnacentral:rRNA from 1 species
GGUCACUGCUAUCAGUGUUCGUCUAAUCCAUGCGAGUCAUAUGUUCUUCGGAACAUGGCGUACUGCUCAGUAACACGUGGAUAACCUGCCCUUGAGUCUGACAUAACUCCGUGAAACUGGAGAUAAUUCCGGAUAACGCAUAUCUGCUGGAAUUCUUUAUGCGUGAAAUGGAUUCGUCUGCCCAAGGAUGGGUCUGCGGCCUAUCAGGUAGUAGUGGGUGUAAUGUACCUACUAGCCGACGACGGGUACGGGUUGUGAGAGCAAGAGCCCGGAGAUGGAUUCUGAGACAUGAAUCCAGGCCCUACGGGGCGCAGCAGGCGCGAAAACUUUACAAUGCGGGAAACCGUGAUAAGGGGACACCGAGUGCCAGCAUUAUAUGUUGGCUGUCCGGGUGUGUAAAAUACACCUUUAGCAAGGGCCGGGCAAGACCGGUGCCAGCCGCCGCGGUAACACCGGCGGCCCGAGUGGUGAUCGUGUUUAUUGGGUCUAAAGGGUCCGUAGCCGGUUUGGUCAGUCCUCCGGGAAAUCUGACGGCUUAACCGUUAGGCUUUCGGGGGAUACUGCCAGACCUGGAACCGGGAGAGGUAAGAGGUACUACAGGGGUAGGAGUGAAAUCUUGUAAUCCCUGUGGGACCACCUGUGGCGAAGGCGUCUUACCAGAACGGGUUCGACGGUGAGGGACGAAAGCUGGGGGCACGAACCGGAUUAGAUACCCGGGUAGUCCCAGCCGUAAACGAUGCUCGCUAGGUGUCAGGCAUGGCGCGACCGUGUCUGGUGCCGCAGGGAAGCCGUGAAGCGAGCCACCUGGGAAGUAUGGCCGCAAGGCUGAAACUUAA